GUAAAUAAUUAAGGGCGUAUGGUGGAUGCCUAGGCUCUCAGAGGCGAUGAAGGACGUGAUAAGCUGCGAAAAGCUCCGUUUAGGUGCAAAUAACCUUUGAUGCGGAGAUCUCCGAAUGGGAUAACCCAAUAUGUUGAAGACAUAUUAUACCGUAAGGUAGGCAAACGCAGGGAACUGAAACAUCUAAGUACCUGCAGGAGAAGAAAACAAACGUGAUUCCCCCAGUAGCGGCGAGCGACCGGGGAAAAGCCCAAACCGUUAUUGUUUCGGCAUUAACGGGGUAGUAGGACUGCGACAUUGAUGAAAUAAAUGAAAUGGAACACCUUGGAAAAUGUGAUCACAGAGGGUGAUAAUCCCGUACAUGCAAGUUUAUGAAUCAUAGCAGACUCCUGAGUAAGUCGGGACACGUGUAAUCCUGACCGAAUCCGCCGGGACCAUCCGGCAAGGCUAAAUACUCCUGAGAGACCGAUAGUGAACCAGUACCGUGAGGGAAAGGUGAAAAGCACUUCGAACAGAAGAGUGAAAUAGUCCCUGAACCCAUACGCCUACAAGCUGUCGGAGCCGCUUCGUGCGGUGACGGCGUGCCUUUUGCAUAAUGAGCCUACGAGUUACUCAUCACCAGCGAGGUUAAGUACUUCAGGUACGUAAGCCGAAGCGAAAGCGAGUCUGAAUAGGGCGUCAAGUUGGUGGUGGUAGACGCGAAACCUUAGUGAUCUACCCAUGGGCAGGGUGAAGGUUUGGUAACACAAACUGGAGGCCCGAACCGGUAAACGUUGAAAAGUUUUCGGAUGACCUGUGGGUAGGGGUGAAAGGCCAAUCAAACUGGGAAAUAGCUCGUACUCUCCGAAAUGCAUUUAGGUGCAGCCUCUGUUGUUUUGUUCUAGAGGUAGAGCUACUGAUUGGAUGCGAGGGCUUCACCGCCUAUCAAAUCCGGCCAAACUCCGAAUGCUAGAACAUGAAGACAGGGAGUGAGCCAGCGGGUGCUAAGGUCCGUUGACGAAAGAGGGAGAACUCAGACCAUCAGCUAAGGUCCCCAAUUGUAUGCUAAGUUGGAAUUAAAACGGGGUGGGACUGCUUAGACAGCUAGGAUGUUGGCUUGGAAGCAGCCAUUCAUUUAAAGAGUGCGUAACAGCUCACUAGUCGAGCGGUCCUGCAUGGAUAAUACGCGGGCAUAAGCAUAUAACCGAAGCUAUGGGAUUGUAGAUGAUACAAUCGGUAGGAGAGCAUUCCAUUCAGCGUAGAAGCAGUAUCGUGAGGUAUUGUGGAGCGGAUGGAAAAGCAAAUGUAGGCAUAAGUAACGAUAAUGCGGGUGAGAACCCCGCACGCCGAAAGAUCAAGGAUUCCCCGGCAAUGUCAAUCAUCCGGGGGUAAGUCGGAUCCUAAGGGUAAGCCGAGUGGCGAUCCCGAUGGCAAACAGGUUAAUAUUCCUGUACUGAUCAUAACUGCGAUGCAGCGACGCAGAGGUGACACUGCUGCGUACUGACGGAAUAGUACGUUGAAACCCGUAUUCUUUGAUACCGGUAGUGAAGCACGCCGGUAGAGAUGAAAGGUGAUAGUACCGCAAUGCUUCGGUUGCGCGGAUAACGCAGGUAAGCUGACUGCCAAGAAAACCUGCUAAGCUUCAGGUAAUGAUCAUCCGUACUGUAAACGGACACACGUGAUCAGGUAGAAAAUACUAAGGCGCUCGAGAGAUUCAUGGUUAAGGAACUAGGCAAAAUGGUCCUGUAACUUCGGGAUAAAGGACGCUCUUGUGAAAGAGCCGCAGAUAAUAGGCCCAGGCGACUGUUUACCAAAAACACAUGGCUAUGCUAAUUCGCAAGAAGAUGUAUAUGGCCUGACACCUGCCCGGUGCCGGAAGGUUAAGAGGAGAGCUCAGAGGCAACUCGAAGGUUUGAAUUGAAGCCCCGGUAAACGGCGGCCGUAACUAUAACGGUCCUAAGGUAGCGAAAUUCCUUGUCGGGUAAGUUCCGACCUGCACGAAUGGUGUAA
rnacentral:rRNA from 1 species